AACCGAUGACCCCGAUCAAUGUCCCCAACUUGGUGGCCCUGCCCAAUGUCCCCAAGCCGAUGACCUCCAUCAAUGUCCCCAAGCCGAUGACCUUGACCAAAGUCCACAACUUGGUGGCCUCCAUCAAUGUCCCCAAGAUGUUGGCCCUUGAGGAUGUCCCCAACUUGGUGGCCCUUGAGGAUGUCCCCAACUUGAUGACUCUUGGUGAUGUCCCCAAGCCGAUGGCUUUGACCGAUGUCCUCAAGGUGGUGGCUCUUCAUGAUGUCCCCAAGCUGAUGACCUUGACCAAUGUCCCCAAGUUGAUGGCUCUUGGUGAUGUCCCCAACUUGGUGGCCUCCAUCAAUGUCCCAAAGAUGGUGGCCCUGACCGAUGUCCCCAACUUGGUGGCUCUUCACAAUGUCCCCAACCCGAUGACUUUGACCAAUGUCCCCAACGUGGUGGCUUUGAUCAAUGUCCCCAACUUGAUGACUCCUGAGGAUGUCCCCAAGGUGGUGGCCCUCCCUGAUGUCCCCAACCCGGUGGCUUUGACCGACGUCCCCACCCCGCCGUCCCCUCCAGGUGCCACCGCUGUCCCCGUCCCCGGUGCCACCGCGCAGGACGAACUCCACGAUGUCGGCCGGGAGCCCCUCGGCGCUCGGUGGCAUUGGUGACACCUCUGGUGGCACCUCUGGUGGCAUUGGUGGCACCUCUGGUGGCACCGUCCCCCUGGUGGCAUCAUCAGCACCGUCCACUUGGCAGAUUUGGGGACAAGGUGACAACGGUGACAAUGCCACCGCCGGUGCCACCACGGUGCGGGCGUAGCCGAAAUAACGUCCCCGUCCCCGUGGUGGCAUUGUCACCGCGGUGGUGGCACUGUCACCGUCGUCGUCGUCGCUGGUGUCACCUCGCGGGGAUCUGUGGGACAAUGAGGUGACAAUGAGGUGACACUGAGGUGACAAUGAGGUGACAAUAAAGUGACAAUUCGGUGACACUGAGGUGACAAUGAGGUGACACUGAGGUGACAAUGAGGUGACAAUAAGGUGACACUGAGGUGACAAU
rnacentral:lncRNA from 1 species